UGGGGAAUUUUCCGCAAUGGGCGAAAGCCUGACGGAGCAAUACCGCGUGAGGGAGGAAUGCCUUUGGGUUGUAAACCUCUUUUCUCAGGGAAGAAGAUCUGACGGUACCUGAGGAAUAAGUAUCGGCUAACUCCGUGCCAGCAGCCGCGGUAAUACGGAGGAUGCAAGCGUUAUCCGGAAUCAUUGGGCGUAAAGCGCCCGCAGGUGGUUUCCAAAGUCUGCUGUUAAAGACUGGAGCUCAACUCCGGAACGGCGGUGGAAACUUGGAAACUAGAGUUCGGUAGGGGUAGCAGGAAUUCCCAGUGUAGCGGUGAAAUGCGUAGAUAUUGGGAAGAACAUCGGUGGCGAAGGCGUGCUACUGGACCGUAACUGACACUCAGGGACGAAAGCUAGGGGGGCGAAAGGGAUUAGAUACCCCUGUAGUCCUAGCUGUAAACGAUGGAAACUAGGUGUGGCUUGA
rnacentral:rRNA from 1 species